rnacentral:rRNA from 1 species
CCUACGGGUGGCAGCAGUGGGGAAUAUUGCACAAUGGGGGAAACCCUGAUGCAGCGACGCCGCGUGAAGGAAGAAGGAUUUCGGGAUGUAAACUUCUAUCAGCAGGGAAGAAAAUGACGGUACCUGACUAAGAAGCCCCGGCUAACGACGUGCCAGCAGCCGCGGUAAUCCGUAGGGGGCAAGCGUUAUCCGGAUUUACUGGGUGUAAAGGGAGCGUAGGCGGCGAUGCAAGUCAGAAGUGAAAGCCCGGGGCUCAACUCCGGGACUGCUUUUGAAACUGUCUGGCUAGAUUGCAGGAGAGGCAAGUGGACUUCCUCUUGUAGCGGUUACCUGCGUAGAUCUUAGGCGGAACCCCAGUGGCGACGGCGGCUUGCUGGACUGUACCUGACGCUGAGGCUCGCAAGCGUG